rnacentral:lncRNA from 1 species
GAUGCCUAGUAUAUGAGAAAUAGAGAAAAAAUUUGAGAGAAAAGUUCUGCUCAAAAUCCGAGCCUUCUUCUUCCUUUUUCUUCUUCCCCAUUCUUCUUAGUUCUCAUGAGAGUCUAUGAGAUCUGAGAGAGAACCAGAUUAGCCAUUAAAGAGAAGAUCUUUGUAAGAGAGCUAGCACCCUAGAAAAAUCAUCUCACCUCUGAUUGGAACGAGUCCUCGUAUGGAUACCUGUGG